rnacentral:lncRNA from 10 species
CAGAAACACUGACAUGGAAACAGGAUCUUUCUUCUCCUACUGUUUGUUCCUCGACUACAGUUAUAAUCCUCUAUUUGUGACAUCAUAAUUAGUUGCCACUGGAGAAGACGAUCGUGUCACAAAAGGAUUAGGACCUAAUCAAGGGCACCAAGGUGGAAAAUGUCCCCAUCCUCAAGAAACUCAGUCUUGGAGUCCAGCCACUAUGCUGUGGGGAAGCAAAGAAAGCUGUGGAGAGGCCACGUGGGGAGGAAUGCCAUCCUUAGCAUGGGCUGAGCUCCCAGGCAGCACCCAUCUCCAGACAUGCGAGUGAACAGGACUUCCGGCAAUUCCAGCCCCAGCCACUGAGUCACUUCGUGCGGAUGCUGAAGGGCUCCUCUCUGUAUUUAAUGAAUGCCCACCAUUGAUGAGGCACUAUGCUAGAUGCAGAGGACACAGUAGUGAACAAGAUGUGUUUUCUAUUCUCCGGGGACUGACAGUACACAGAUGUAGACAGGAAAGCCAGAUGACAAGUUCAAGGAAGACAGAGAAGAAUAA